rnacentral:lncRNA from 1 species
AAAAUUUCUCUUACCAGAAAUUGCCAGUGGAAUAUUGCUGGGACCUAGAUAGAAAAGAAAGUGGGCUCCACAAAGAAACAGUAAAACCUGCUUAAUUUUGACCUGUUCUAGUGCAAGGAGACAUGGUCUAAAGCAGUGUUUUUAAUGUUUGAUUCCCAAGAUCAUGAUAUCACUUGAGGAGUACAACAUCCACCAACAACAUCCUGUGAACACCCCAUGCACAAAGUAAGAUACAAAGGUGAUCUUCAGCAUUCCUGGCACCUCUUUCAUUUCACGUUGCUCACUUCAUACAGGAUGUGGAACUAGGUGAUGCAUGUGUCGGUGAGGGGACCCUUGGCACGGUUAUGAUCAAGUGGAUGCCAAAUCAUGAGCAUGGAAGGAGUGUUUUGUCAAAAAAAAAUUUUUUUUUGCUUGUUGAGGCCCUUCCAGGGAGCAGUAAGAAUAGAAAAUUUUGCAAGUGUCCAGGAGCAUGGAAAUAUUCAUGGUCUCUCCAUCCACACCCUUUCUUCCAUGUUUCCAGCUUCCCUUAAAGACAGAUGUGGGAUACCAAGAAGACUAUGGACAGAACUUCUUGCAAAUGUCAGGUUUCCAUUCAAGACAGUGACAUUUCUCCUCUUUGUCUGUGAAGUACCUCCAGGAAUCAUGUAAUGAAGAAAGUAGGCUCACCAAGCAAACAAGGUUCCCUUGACAAAAGAUGCAAGAUGCAAGCAGCCUGUGCACAGAACCUCUGGCAAAUGUCAGGUAAGAAUCAGGGUGCUGGUACCAUGUUGGGACCAAGUGGUCCUCCAUGUGCAAGUAGAUGUCAGGAG